GAGAGGCGCACACAAAGUGAACUUGCGCGAACUACACAGAAAAGGUUGACGAAGCCCGCGCGCUUUGCCUUCCACAGCGCGAGGAGGCGACCGAACGAGCGCCAGUUCGUCGGGACUUAUAAAGACCGAGCAGGGGGGCGCGAGGAGGGGGUACGACAGAGCUCGCGCGCGCGGAGACGACGGGGAGGGAAUUCUCACCACGUACACCACCCCGUGCCCACCAGCACGCACAUUUUGGAAUCGCUGUAUUGGAGUGCGUGUUUAGGAACCACCUGGAUACAAGCAGGUGGGCGGUCACGGUCAGACCUCACCGUGUCUUUCCAGAACGCAUCGGUGUUGUGUGUUGUUGCACCUGUUUGUUUUUUGUACCGGGAAGUGGACUGACAGAGCCCUGCCGUCGCGAGCACACCGGCUGGGACGUUUCCAGGUAAGCCUGGACCGGAUCGAGAUGAGAGGGAAGUCGUACAGAAGAAGACAUUCACAAAAUGGAUAAACUCACAGUUCUCCAAGACAGGAAAGCCUCCUAUCCAGGAUCUGUUUUCUGAUCUCUGUGAUGGACGACGUCUUCUAGAACUGCUGGAGGGACUGGCUGGACAUGAGCUGGUGAGACUCGAGAGAGGAUUCACGCGUGUUCACUCUCUCAACAAUGUCAACCGAGCUCUGCAAAUCCUGCAAAAAAACAAUGUAGAGGAUUGGAAUUUAGGAAGUG
ensembl:lncRNA